rnacentral:rRNA from 1 species
CGGCGAGUGAAGCGGCAACAGCUCAAAUUUGAAAUCUGGCUCUCGGGCCCGAGUUGUAAUUUGUAGAGGAUGCUUUUGAUGCGGUGCCUUCCGAGUUCCCUGGAACGGGACGCCAUAGAGGGUGAGAGCCCCGUCUGGUUGGAUGCCAAAUCUCUGUAAAGCUCCUUCAACGAGUCGAGUAGUUUGGGAAUGCUGCUCUAAAUGGGAGGUAUAUGUCUUCUAAAGCUAAAUACCGGCCAGAGACCGAUAGCGCACAAGUAGAGUGAUCGAAAGAUGAAAAGCACUUUGAAAAGAGAGUUAAAAAGUACGUGAAAUUGUUGAAAGGGAAGCGUUUAUGACCAGACUUGGACUUGGUUAAUCAUCUGGGGUUCUCCCCAGUGCACUUUUCCAGUUCAGGCCAGCAUCAGUUUUCCCCGGGGGAUAAAGGCGGCGGGAAUGUGGCUCUCUUCGGGGAGUGUUAUAGCCCGCCGUGUAAUACCCUGGGGGGGACUGAGGUUCGCGCAUCUGCAAGGAUGCUGGCGUAAUGGUCAUCAACGACCCGUCUUGAAACACGGACCAAGGAGUCGUCUUCGUAUGCGAGUGUUCGGGUGUCAAACCCCUACGCGUAAUGAAAGUGAACGCAGGUGAGAGCUUCGGCGCAUCAUCGACCGAUCCUGAUGUUCUCGG